UUGUUUUUCCAUGUCCUGUGUGGGUAAUAACAUUUAUAUUAAUUUUUUUUUUCAUGAAAAUUCAAAUCGCAACAAGUUAUGAAAACUGAAGGAUGUCUUUUGCGGGUGUUUUAACUCUUGAUGGGCUUGGUCUUUAGCAGAGCAUGCAGUGAAUUAAGCAAGUCCAUCACAUCCAUUUAAUUGCUAAAAGACUUAAUAAUUCCACGGCAAGCCAACAAGUUAGAGCUUUCACACUUGCAUCAAGGUUUU
rnacentral:misc_RNA from 1 species